UGCGUAGGCGGAAUGAUAAGUUAGUGGUGAAAGCCCCCGGCUCAACCGGGGAACUGCCAUUAAUACUGUCAUUCUUGAGUAUAGUUGAAGUGGGCGGAAUGUAUCAUGUAGCGGUGAAAUGCUUAGAUAUGAUACAGAACACCGAUAGCGUAGGCAGCUUGCUAAACUACAACUGACGCUCAGGCACGAAAGCGUGGGGAGCAAACAGGAUUAGAUACCCUGGUAGUCC
rnacentral:rRNA from 1 species